rnacentral:tRNA from 1 species
UAUAACUUAGUGUACGGUGCACAUAGGCCUUUGAAGCCUAAAGAUCGAGCUCAACCCUCAAAGUUAUAA